CAAUAGCGUAUAUUUAAGUUGUUGCAGUUAAAAAGCUCGUAGUUGGAUUUCGGAUGGGAUUUGCCGGUCCGUCGUUACGAUGUGCACUGGCCAGUCCUAUCUUGUUGUCGGGGACUAGCUCCUUGGAUUCACUUCCUGGGACUAGGAGCUGACGAGGUUACUUUGAGUAAAUUAGAGUGUUCAAAGCAAGCCUACGCUCUGAAUACAUUAGCAUGGAAUAACACGAUAGGACUCUGGCUUAUCUUGUUGGUCUGUGAGACCAGAGUAAUGAUUAAGAGGGACAGUCGGGGACAUUCGUAUUUCAUUGUCAGAGGUGAAAUUCUUGGAUUUAUGAAAGACGAACUUCUGCGAAAGCAUCUGUCAAGGAUGUUUUCAUUAA
rnacentral:rRNA from 1 species